UCUUCUAUCCCUUGUCUAAGAUGGUUGAUUGCUAAGUCUAGGAACAACAAUCGCAGAUUUCUGAUGAAUUAAAAAAGAAGCUGGGUUGGGUUUCUUAUUGUUUCUCUCUUAAAGGAACAAAGAGAUAUGGGUUGGGAUUGUUGCAAAAGUGUAGAGAAAGAUGGAGAGAAGAAGAAUCGACAAAGGAAGAGGAAAGAGUUGGAGUGAUAUGCUUUAUCUCUUUUUUUUUUAAUUAAAAAAGAAGUUGAAAAUAAUUAAUCUCUGUUAAGUUGGUGGACAAAUGUCAUGAUAUGAGGGGUAGGCACAGGUUUGGCAAAUGAUUUUUGGGCAUAGGUGAUUUACUUCCGGUCGAGCCAGGCCUGCCCAUUACCAAUUAAUUUUGAAUGAGAAUCUUAAUUACUUCGUCACUUGAUGUUCAAUCUAGCCUUAUUGUUUUUCUCGAAAAAAAUAAAAAUAAAAAAUUCUAACCUCAUUUUAAAUGUAAAUCUCGGAUUACUUUAUCAGUGGCAAACUUAUAUCUUUGUAUCAGCAUCCUCAAAAUGACGUAAUUUGGAUCUUUGAGAUUGCUUGUACCACAUUUAUGCGCCUUAGCAACAUUUUCUGUACAAAUGCAUAGGUGGGUGAUGAAGUUGUGGUUUUAACAAAGCUCACACCCCAUUUUGUUAUCUACCAUCUAACUAUAUAUGUUACUCAUUAACAAAAACAGUAAAACACGAAUUUUUAAAGACUCAAGUAUGUAUGGAUGGAAAGUAACGAUAGCGCACCGCAAUAGACAGAGACACAGACACUACAUCUGUCACAUCCUGACCCUUAUAUUUUUACCUUAUUUACUAGCUUGAUUAUAAUAAGAAUUUUACCGUCUCGAUCAUUGAGUAAUAGCUUAAUUGGUCCCUAGAGGGGUUUCGGGGUCGAUUUUUAGUGCUGAGGAUUAUUCGUGGGAGAAAAUAUGACGACGGUAAAAAUGGUAAAUUUUUGCUAGUAAAAGGUAAUUUUUAUUGGGGUAUUAUUUUUGGGGUGUUGAAAUUUGGAUUGGGUAUAUAUGGGUUGGAACCGGUUGGGCUAAGCCCAAAAAUUUCUCUCUCCCUCCCGAUUCUCUCUCUCCUCUCCCGCUCCCACACCCGAACCUCUCCCUGCCGGAAUUCCGACCGCCCGUCCGCCGCCGUCCGGCCGCCCCAGACCGCCGCACCGGUCCCAAUCGAUCGGUCUCCAACCCAGCUAUCUCCCAGGACCGGUGACAGCCCCCCUAGCGCCGCCGUGAGAGAGCGGUGCCGCCCGAAAGGCUAGGCUGCCCCGAACUUCCGGCCGCCGGAACUCCCUCCUCCGGCCACCAAUCCGGGCAAGCUUGGUACGGUUUUGUAGCCUUCCUCCCGUGCAGCAACCCCUCCAAUCAGCUCACUCCCUCUUGAGCUAGGUAAGGAGAAAUGUGGAGUUGAAAUUUCUAGGGCUUUUAGGAUGUUUUUGUUCGAUUAGCCUAGUUAGGCUUGGAAUUGGGUGAUGUGUUGGUCAGGAAAGUUGUAGAGCAUGAUGAGGAGAUUAUUCUGUCAAAAUUUCAUAGGUUUGG
rnacentral:lncRNA from 1 species